AUUGAACGCUGGCGGCAGGCCUAACACAUGCAAGUCGAACGGUAACAGGAAGCAGCUUGCUGCUUUGCUGACGAGUGGCGGACGGGUGAGUAAUGUCUGGGAAACUGCCCGAUGGAGGGGGAUAUCUACUGGAAACGGUAGCUAAUACCGCAUAACGUCGCAAGACCAAAGAGGGGGACCUUAGGGCCUCUUGCCAUCGGAUGUGCCCAGAUGGGAUUAGCUAGUAGGUGGGGUAACGGCUCACCUAGGCGACGAUCCCUAGCUGGUCUGAGAGGAUGACCAGCCACACUGGAACUGAGACACGGUCCAGACUCCUACGGGAGGCAGCAGUGGGGAAUAUUGCACAAUGGGCGCAAGCCUGAUGCAGCCAUGCCGCGUGUAUGAAGAAGGCCUUCGGGUUGUAAAGUACUUUCAGCGGGGAGGAAGGGAGUAAAGUUAAUACCUUUGCUCAUUGACGUUACCCGCAGAAGAAGCACCGGCUAACUCCGUG
rnacentral:rRNA from 1 species